rnacentral:rRNA from 1 species
GAUGAACGCUAUCUACAGGCUUAACACAUGCAAGUCGAGGGGCAUCAGGAAGAAAGCUUGCUUUCUUUGCUGGCGACCGGCGCACGGGUGAGUAACACGUAUCCAACCUGCCCUUUACUCGGGGAUAGCCUUUCGAAAGAAAGAUUAAUACCCGAUAGCAUAAUGAUUCCGCAUGGUUUCAUUAUUAAAGGAUUCCGGUAAAGGAUGGGGAUGCGUUCCAUUAGGUUGUUGGUGAGGUAACGGCCCACCAAGCCUUCGAUGGAUAGGGGUUCUGAGAGGAAGGUCCCCCACAUUGGAACUGAGACACGGUCCAAACUCCUACGGGAGGCAGCAGUGAGGAAUAUUGGUCAAUGGGCGCUAGCCUGAACCAGCCAAGUAGCGUGAAGGAUGAAGGCUCUAUGGGUCGUAAACUUCUUUUAUAUAAGAAUAAAGUGCAGUAUGUAUACUGUUUUGUAUGUAUUAUAUGAAUAAGGAUCGGCUAACUCCGUGCCAGCAGCCGCGGUAAUACGGAGGAUCCGAGCGUUAUCCGGAUUUAUUGGGUUUAGAGGGAGCGUAGGUGGACUGGUAAGUCAGUUGUGAAAGUUUGCGGCUCAACCGUAAAAUUGCAGUUGAUACUGUCAGUCUUGAGUACAGUAGAGGUGGGCGGAAUUCGUGGUGUAGCGGUGAAAUGCUUAGAUAUCACGAAGAACUCCGAUUGCGAAGGCAGCUCACUGGACUGCAACUGACACUGAUGCUCGAAAGUGUGGGUAUCAAACAGGAUUAGAUACCCUGGUAGUCCACACAGUAAACGAUGAAUACUCGCUGUUUGCGAUAUACAGUAAGCGGCCAAGCGAAAGCAUUAAGUAUUCCACCUGGGGAGUACGCCGGCAACGGUGAAACUCGAAGGAAUUGACGGGGGCCCGCACAAGCGGAGGAACAUGUGGUUUAAUUCGAUGAUACGCGAGGAACCUUACCCGGGCUUAAAUUGCAGUGGAAUGAUGUGGAAACAUGUCAGUGAGCAAUCACCGCUGUGAAGGUGCUGCAUGGUUGUCGUCAGCUCGUGCCGUGAGGUGUCGGCUUAAGUGCCAUAACGAGCGCAACCCUUAUCUUCAGUUACUAACAGGUUAUGCUGAGGACUCUGGAGAGACUGCCGUCGUAAGAUGUGAGGAAGGUGGGGAUGACGUCAAAUCAGCACGGCCCUUACGUCCGGGGCUACACACGUGUUACAAUGGGGGGUACAGAAGGCAGCUACCUGGUGACAGGAUGCUAAUCCCAAAAGCCUCUCUCAGUUCGGAUCGAAGUCUGCAACCCGACUUCGUGAAGCUGGAUUCGCUAGUAAUCGCGCAUCAGCCACGGCGCGGUGAAUACGUUCCCGGGCCUUGUACACACCGCCCGUCAAGCCAUGGGAGCCGGGGGUACCUGAAGUACGUAACCGCAAGGAUCGUCCUAGGGUAAAACUGGUGACUGGGGCUAAGUCA